GGCAGUUCUUGGGUGACACACCCCAGAACCAGAGCGGAGGGAGCCUGAUUCUGGGGUGCAUUACCCGAGAACCACC
rfam:Myotis davidii contig8979, whole genome shotgun sequence.